rnacentral:piRNA from 1 species
UUAGCGUUUAGAGUGGAGCGUGUGUUCACAA